rnacentral:tRNA from 1 species
CGGGGCGUAGCGCAGCCUGGUAGCGCACCUGCUUUGGGAGCAGGGGGUCGGAGGUUCGAAUCCUCUCGCCCCGACCA